GCAAUUAUAGCUUAAUAUAGAGCAUUGGUCUUGUAAGCCAGAGGUGAAUAUAAUUAUUCUGAUUGCU
rnacentral:tRNA from 1 species